rnacentral:rRNA from 1 species
CAGCUAGUUGGUAGGGUAAUGGCCUACCAAGGCUUAGACGGGUAGCUGGUCUGAGAGGAUGAUCAGCCACACUGGGACUGAGACACGGCCCAGACUCCUACGGGAGGCAGCAGUGGGGAAUAUUGGGCAAUGGGCGCAAGCCUGACCCAGCCACGCCGCGUGAGUGAUGAAGGCCUUCGGGUCGUAAAGCUCUGUGGGGAGGGACGAAAAAACAUUGGCUAAUAUCCAAUGGACUGACGGUACCUCCUUAGCAAGCACCGGCUAACUCCGUGCCAGCAGCCGCGGUAAUACGGAGGGUGCAAACGUUGCUCGGAAUCAUUGGGCGUAAAGCGCACGUAGGCGGUCCAGCAAGUCGGGUGUGAAAGCCCUCGGCUUAACCGAGGAAGUGCAUUCGAAACUACUGGGCUUGAGUACUGAAGAGGAUCGCGGAAUUCCCGGUGUAGAGGUGAAAUUCGUAGAUACCGGGAGGAACACCGGUGGCGAAGGCGGCGAUCUGGGCAGAUACUGACGCUGAUGUGCGAAAGCGUG